CCUACGGGAGGCUGCAGUGGGGAAUAUUGGACAAUGGGGGCAACCCUGAUCCAGCCAUGCCGCGUGUGUGAAGAAGGCCCUCGGGUUGUAAAGCACUUUCAGUGAGGAAGAACGCCUGGUGGUUAAUACCCAUCAGGAAAGACAUCACUCACAGAAGAAGCACCGGCUUAACUCCGUGCCAGCAGCCGCGGUAAUACGGAGGGUGCGAGCGUUAAUCGGAAUUACUGGGCGUAAAGCGCGCGUAGGUGGCUUGAUAAGCCGGUUGUGAAAGCCCCGGGCUCAACCUGGGAACGGCAUCCGGAACUGUCAAGCUAGAGUGCAGGAGAGGAAGGUAGAAUUCCCGGUGUAGCGGUGAAAUGCGUAGAGAUCGGGAGGAAUACCAGUGGCGAAGGCGGCCUUCUGGACUGACACUGACACUGAGGUGCGAAAGCGUGGGUAGCAAACAGGAUUCGAUACCCCUGUAGUC
rnacentral:rRNA from 1 species